rnacentral:tRNA from 1 species
CGGAUGUAGCCAAGAGGAUCAAGGCAGU